rnacentral:rRNA from 1 species
UACGUAGGUGGCAAGCGUUGUCCGGAAUCACUGGGCGUAAAGCGCGCGCAGGCGGCGAUCUACGUCUGGGGUGAAAGCCCGUAGCUCAACUCCGGGACUGCCUUGGAUACGGGGUCGCUUGAGGAUUGGAGAGGCAAGGGGAAUUCCACGUGUAGCGGUGAAAUGCGUAGAUAUGUGGAGGAACACCUGUGGCGAAGGCGCCUUGCUGGCCAAUUUCUGACGCUGAGGCGCGAAAGCGUGGGGAGCAAACAGG